AUACACCUGCUCUGUCACACACCUCAGUCUGGACAACAAACUGGACAUUGAGUUGGAAUUUGACCCUGGUGAACCAUUUAAAUCAGUGAUUACUUCAGUGCUGAUAGUUUUGGCUCUGGUGUUGGUGUUUGGGACUCUGGUGUUGGUGUCUGGAAUCAUCAUAUGUAAAUGCAGAAGGAGACGAGCAGCUUCCUUAAAGAGUGAUUAUUCUGCUGCUUCUACAUCUGAAGAAAACAUGGACCCAGCAUCUUGAAGUUUAUGUCAAUUCUAUGAAGCUACUUUUUGUUUUCCAUAUUUUACUGUAGAUUAAUACAAAUGUUCAAAGU